rnacentral:rRNA from 1 species
AGACGACGAGGUUGAUAGGGCAGGGGUGGAAGUGCUGUAAGGCAUGGAGCUGACUGCUACUAAUCGGUCGAGGGCUUGACCAAAA